rnacentral:tRNA from 1 species
AUGGUAGAUGACAAAGUUGGCUAGUCGCUCCCUUUGGGUGGGAGACAUAUAGCGUGUUCGAGUCGCGCCUACCAUA